CGUGCGCCCCCCUGGUCUACCAGCGCUGACCUUGCAGCACAAAGCAGUUCGAGCCGUGGCGGCGCACUCUUCAAAGCUCUCACGCAAAGACACGCACUCCGACUGGGGGGGGUGGACACGACGCACUCCUAAUGUUCAGCGUGUGCGCUCGGGACUGGCCCCCGGGGGCCUGCUGGCGGCGAGCCCGCCUUCUUACAAAGCGAGGGAAAGAGGAUGGAAAGUGGGCGGCGGCAAAGGGGGUCAGGAAGACCAUAGUCACAUUCACUUAGAUAUGUGCCCAUUCAUCAAGCUACAAAAGAUGCAGGCACCGGAAGCGAGUUAGCGCUGGGGGGGGUGGGGGUAAGCAGUGAAUAGAGGCGUGCGUCUACACACGCGCAAAGUCACUUCAGAGAGGAGCUGUAUAAUGGUAUCGGUGUCGGCCGGGGAUUUGGUAUGUGGACCUUACGUGGGGCCUUCCCCAACUGAAUCCACUUCAUCAAUACUUUACAUAAAUGCAACCGUGCCCUCUGUACACGUUCUGGAGAACAUUUGCAAAAACGCGAUACUUUGAUCAUGUGUUCCCGACCAGGGAUGUGACGGGUGAAAACAUGAGUUUAACUUUCAUCUUUGGCGAGCGGACUUUCUGCCGGGCUUUUUGAUCAGCGGCGGGCGAGUCGAUGAGCUGGCAAUUCCGAGAGGCGCCGCUUGAUUCGAUGUGGAUUAUGGAUUAAAUAAAAACGAAGUGUUCAGGAAUGAAGGUCAGAUGAAAGCGCAGAAAGGACGACGCGGUGCGGGCACGAGGGGGGCCGAUGUGGUGGAAAUUACGAAGCCGGCGGGAGGACGGAUGGGAAUUGCUCGGUCCACGUUUACGAUCUUGCGAUUUGCUGUCAUUCACGCUGUCGGUUGAUGAUGAUUAUGCAGUUGCGGUUGACAGUUGACAGUUUUCAGUGUGAGGGCGCACGCUUUCCAGAUUGAAAAGGGAAAUGCAUUUCUGCCUAAUAUGACGCUAUUCCCUCCCUUGCCAUAUGCAUUUAUUGCACUACCCAAAAUACCGGUUUAUUUUUAAUGACUCACCUUUUAAAGUUGAAUACUAUUUAUAAUCGUCUGCCAAUUAUGCUUUUAUAUCACCUGCAGUGAAAGAAUAAUGCCGAGUCAGACCUGCCAAUGCCGAUUUUGUAUUUAGCGGCCAACUAACCGCGUAACCUUCUGAUUGAUGCUUUUUUAGCAUGAAAACGUAAUGUAACUCUAAAAAUAAAAUGACUCUUUCCCCAAGCGAUGAAGGAUUCAAGUGGCCUGAACGAAAUAGGGCACGUCGUCAUCUUCGUUCAUUUUUCUUUCCUUAAAAAAAGAAAAAAAAAAAAGAGAGCAGGUGUCUUCAGGCAGUAGGCGGGAGGACACCCUGAACCUGUUGCCAGCCAAUCACAGAUUAUAAAACUGAUUAUUCAAAAAUCAAUAUUGUGUCGGUCGUUGUGAACAAACAAUGCAUGCCAUGAAAGGUGAUGCAUUGACAGUGAAAUCAAAUUGCUGAGUAAUUCUGGGAAUUUCCAGACGCAUGACAAGAUGCAAACACGGGCGUGUGUUUGACCUUGGCAAUUAUAAUGGAAGGGAAAAAAUCUUUUAUUUGAUUAGUUUUUGUUUGCGGGAGGGGGGGGGGGGGGGGGGAUCAGUCUCUUAAGAAACCGUGACAUUCUCCUAGUCAGCGUCAGGCUAUUGUUCCCUGCAAGAGGAGGGCGCUUGAAUGGGCCCACUGAUUUGAGAGUGCGGCCGGAUCACGCUUGGUCAUCUGUGUGCAUCAUGUCCCCUUUCUGUUGGCGUACAUCAAAACAGGAAAAUAAAGGCAUUGGAAGGUGCGGGGGAGUGUGUGGUGUCACUUGGACGCUUGCGUAACCUCCUGUUGCAACGCCUUUUGUUUCCUACUGUUAAGUUUGGGGAAUGUGGGCCCGGGCUCGCCAAAGUGGCCGUGAGAGCCAAGGUCUGGUUUGGACAUUAGUUCCUUUGUGGUAUUGUGGUUACAAACACUGAUUUGUGAAUCCUAAAACACUUUCCCCCGAAAAUCUCAAUUCCAACUCCAAUCUCAGAUCUUGGCUGAUGGAUUUCUGAUGGGCACAGGUCAAAAAAGGGUGUUUGCGCCAUUCUGGGGGUGAACAGCCGACUUACUUUCUGGACAAUGAAAGUAGCUGCGCUCACUCCAUUACAGCGCAUGCGAGGCGCACACACACGUUCUUUGACAUCGCAGAAUUAUUACGGCGUAUAAGCAUUGACUUGAAUUUAGUUUUAAGUCCUACGCGUUCCCUGAAGGCACUGUCGCUGAAGGGGGGAUGUUCCAAGCCUUUUGUCCGGCUGCCACUCAUGAUUCCACGCCCUUCUCGGUUGAUACCACGCCACAUCAGGGUCAAAAGUCAGAAACUCCGAAAAAUAA